rnacentral:tRNA from 1 species
CAAGAUAAAACACAUGGCGUGUUGUUUACUUACACUAAAUCUAUUGAUUGUUCGAUUCAAUCUAUCUUGA